rnacentral:rRNA from 1 species
CGCCAGACUCCUACGGGAGGCAGCAGUGGGGAAUAUUGCACAAUGGGGGAAACCCUGAUGCAGCGACGCCGCGUGAGCGAAGAAGUACCUCGGUAUGUAAAGCUCUAUCAGCAGGGAAGAAGAUGACGGUACCUGACCAAGAAGCUCCGGCUAAAUACGUGCCAGCAGCCGCGGUAAUACGUAUGGAGCAAGCGUUAUCCGGAUUUAUUGGGUUUAAAGGGUGCGCAGGCGGCACGGCAAGCCGGCGGUCAAAUCGCGGGGCUCAACCCCGCCCAGCCGUCGGAACUGCCGGGCUAGAGUGGGCGAGAAGUGCGCGGAAUGCGUGGUGUAGCGGUGAAAUGCAUAGAUAUCACGCAGAACUCCGAUUGCGAAGGCAGCGCACCGGCGCCCUACUGACGCUCAGGCACGAAAGCGUGGGUAUCGAACAGGAUUAGAUACCCUAGUA